CCCCCUACGGGGGCAGCAGUGGGGAAUAUUGCACAAUGGGCGCAAGUCUGAUGCAGCGACGCCGCGUGCGGGAUGGAGGCCUUCGGGUUGUAAACCUCUUUUGCCAGGGGACAAAGGCGGCCACGGGUGGCCGUAAGAGGGUACCUGGAGAAAAAGCAUCGGCUAACUCCGUGCCAGCAGCCGCGGUAAUACGGAGGAUGCGAGCGUUAUCCGGAUUUAUUGGGUUUAAAGGGUGCGCAGGCGGCGUGUCAAGUCAGCGGUAAAAUGUCGGGGCUCAACCCCGGCCGGCCGUUGAAACUGGCGUG
rnacentral:rRNA from 1 species